rnacentral:RNase_P_RNA from 2 species
UCAGCAAGAUGAGUGAUUGCUCUCUGUAUUUGCAGGGAGAGGAAAGUCCGAACGCCAUCCCGCUAAGCGGGAUAAAAUAAUAGCGGCUAACAGCCGUCCAUCGUAAGAUGCGAGGUGCGAACAGAAACGGCUUGGACCGAAAGGUUCAGCAUCCCUUCAUGGGAUAAUUUUACAGCAAUGUAAAAAUGAAACGGCUAAAUCCUUAUUGGGCGCAAGAACAAAGCCCUGCUCAUUGUUUCAUCAUUGAAAAGGGUUAAAAGUAGUUCGCCACUGGUCGCGAGAAUUAUACGCAAAGCGGAAAUUCCCGACCUAGAGCCAAAGAGUAAUUUUUGGCCAAGACAGAUAAUCACUUAAAACAGAAUUCGGCUUACGGUCUUGCUGAGACA